rnacentral:misc_RNA from 1 species
CCUCAUUAAGUACAGGUGAUCGAGCACUUUCCCAAAGAAUUACAUGGUUAUCUGGAUAAAGGCUCUGGUCCAAGUAUAUUGUAAUUUUUUUGAAGUAAGAAGAGAAUUUCGGAUAUGGUUUCUGCAGCAUUCCAGCCAGUACUGGAUCCUUCCCAUCUUCCAAUAUCCUCCCAACAAUCUUCAGAGACCAAGAGGCNNNNNUAUUGUUAUCUCCUUGCACUUGGUUUUCAAAAGUGUUAAAAAUAUAUAAUCGAAGAGUUUU